ACUAUUUCUGUGUUCUUGAGUGAGCUUGCAGCUGACUAUGGCACUUCUGAGGAUACCAUCUGGUGGUCUCAGCUCUGCGGAUUUUGAAACACAAGGAAAGAUGGAAAGAGAGCACAUCUCAGUUUGGACCAGCCACAUGUUAAAUGCUCAACAUCCUCCCAGGGCUCGUGCCUACUGGACUGGGCAAUGCAGCUUUACCAACACGUGAUGCCUAAUCACCCAGGACAAGUCAGUUUAUAGAGUCAAUCCAUUGACGAGGAAGAGAAAACAAGCCACCUUGACCCUGACUGAACUUCCUCAGGCAUCUCCCCACCCCCAGGGCUGAGGAGCAUCUAGCUGACAGAUUCCCAGCAACACAGCCAAGGACCAAGGCGGCAGUUCCAGGCGCCAAUGGAACAGCUCCGGGAAGGACCACGUGCACACACCCACGUUGACAAGGCACUCUGGAAUUCUAGCUGAACCAAGGCCCUCGUUUCUUCUUACCUGGGAGAGGAGGGCAGACCUCUACCCUUCCAAUGGCAUGCACAGAACAUUCCUGACAGACUGCCCUCACGUGGCUCUGUUAACUGGCUUCAUAGUCCCCAUGCAUCAGAAUUCUGUCAGGCUCCAUCUUCCAAGCACCGUUUCAGUCUGGUCUCUGCAUUCUGUGGUGUGUUCUGAUCUCUGAUUCCUGAUUUAUGGCUCCCUCUUGUGGAUGUUGGCUUGGCUUUGCCCCCAUCGGUUUUCUCUAGUCAAAACUGCCUCUGAUCCACCUCAUUCCUAAGAGGAGUUCGAAUAAGCACUUGCACUGGGAUAAAGGAGCAGAAAAGACUCGGUGUGUGAACAUCGCCCUGACUUAAUGGGGGCAGCAGCUACCUGGCGGGAGAGGAUGGAGGUUUGAGAGGUCCUGAGGACAAUUUUUAAUUUCUUCCUUUUUUUUUUUUUCCAGAAAGGGAAGCUGAGUUAUUCUUGGUUCAAAUCUCUCUUCUCCAUUAGCUUUCAGUUAAGUUUCAAAACUUCUCCCCAGGUCGCCAGAGGUAGACUGAACGUGCAGUCUUCUUGGUUUUAUUUUAGGAGGGCGUGCACAGUUGAGGUUCUUAUAAAGAGCUCAAAACUGAAACACAAACCAGAAUCUUCCUCUCCCACCUGCUGUGAGCCAAUUCCCCUCUUCUCUAGGCAGCAUACUUCCCAUUCAGUUACAGACACUAGGAGGUUUACCUGCAUAAGGAGCAGGAGUCUAGGUUGCUGUGCGUUUCCCUCUCUGGCUGUCCCCCUUGCUGAUCACAGGCUUUGUGUCUUCAUUACAAAAGUAACCAUAGGGUGUUACAUUCCCCAAAGCAAGCCAUGACAUAGUCAUUCUGCGCUUCCUUCUCUUGACAUUUGUACCAAAGGAGAGUAAGAAUGUAAACGUGUUUUAUAUAAGCCACUUCCAGACUUACAUACAGCUUCAUUAGUAUAAAAGAAUAUUUGAUGUGAUUAAUUUUCCAGUUCCAACACGAUGGCUUUCCGGCCUUUCACUGCCUUCUUAAGGGAGACAAGAGAAGAAAAAAUACUCUAAUUUUAAUUUUUUUUUUUAAAGUUCGUAGCUGUGCCAAGUACAACCAUUAUGGUCAGUGCAAAAGCACUCCACUUUUUAAUUUAGUUGUAAUAGCACAUUACUUACCCUGUAGAAAUGUGCUAAAAUAAACAUAAAAUAAUCCUGGGCCUCAUGACGUAGAGAACAAGACAUUUUGGGGAAAAAAAAUCAUUGACGCUAAUGUCAAACCAUCUAGUGCUUUGCAGGAGGCUAUUUACAAUAGAAAGAGCGUAUGUACACAGCACUUUACAGCAAGCAUCUUGAGAACUCAUUCUUUUUUUUUUUUUUAAAGGAUAAACACCAACAUUUUUUAAUCCAUGUUUGUGACUUAAUCUAGAUCACAGUUUAUCUGCACUGGCUCAGAUUUUUUAAAAUUGAGAAAUAAUUGACACAUAACCCUGCAUAUGUGUACAGCAUCAUAAUUUGACAUGCGUACAUUGCAAAAUGAUCAACCCAAGAAGUUUAGUAAACAUCCAUCAUCACGCAGUUAAAUUGUUUUUCUUUUGAGGAGAAAAUUUAAGAUCUGCUCGCUUAGCAACUUUCAAAUACGCGAUAUAGUGUGGUUAAUUACAGGCACCGCCUGUACUUAUUUGUCUCAUAAUGAAAAGCUUGUAUCUUUUGAUCACCUUUAUUCUUUUCACCCACCUCUUAACACUCCCCCCAUCCCAAUCCCGGAAACCACCCAUCUGUUCUCUGUUUCUAUAAGUGUUUUUAGUUUUUUGUUUUUAAAUUCCACUUACAAGUGAUAACACAUAUUUGUCUUUCUCUGACUUAUUUCACCUAUCCUAAUGCCCUCAAGGUCCAUGUUAUUUGCAAACGGCAGAAUUUCUUUCUCAUAGAUGAAUAAUAUUUUACCGUAUGUAUAAACCACAUUUUCUUUAUCCAUUUAUUUAUUUAUUGACACAGAGAUUGUUUCUUUUUUUUUCAGAUUUUCGAAUUUAUUUUCUUAGAAUUGAGACAGCCAUUUUGCAAUGGUAUUGUAAUUUUGUGUCUAUCUGUUGUUUUUUUAAUUACUCAAUGAAUUUUAUUACAUUUAUAGUUGUACAACAAUCAUCACAACCAAAUUUUAUAGCAUUUCCAUCCCAAACCCUCAGUGCAUCCUCCCAACCCCCCAACCUGUCUCAUUUGGAAACCAUAAGUUUUUCAAAGUCUGUGAGUCAGUAUCUCUUCUGCGAAGUUCAUUUUGUCCUUUUUUUAGAUUCCACUUGUAAGUCCAUGAUAGCAUUUGAUGGUGGUGUCUCAUUGUCUGACUGACUUCACUUAGCAUGAUAAUUUCUAGGUGCAUCCAUGUUGCCGCAAAUGCUAUUAUUUCUUUCCUUUUAAUGGCUGAGUAAUAUUCCAUUGUGUGUUUCCAUAUAUGGGCUGUCAUUAACAACACUGCAGUGAACAUGACGGUGCAUGCAUCUUCUCAAGCUAACAAUUUCAUUUCCUUUGGAUAAACACCCAGAAGAGGAAAUGCUGGAUCAUACGAUAGUUCUAUUUUUAAUAUUUUGAGGGACCUCUGCACUAUUUUCCAUGAUGGUUGCACCAAUUUACAUUCCCACCACCAAUACACAAGUGUUCCCUUUUUUCCACAUCCUCACCUAUGCUUGAUAUUUCUUGUCUUUUUGAUAAUACUCAUUUUAAUAGGUGUGAGUUUAUACCCUGUGGUUUUGAUUUGCAUUUACCUGAUAAUUGGUAAUGUUGCGUACCUGUUUGUCUACUUGUUGGCAAUCUGUAUGUUUUCCUUGGAAAAAAAAAACUUAUUAAAAUGUUUAUUCAGAUCGUCUGCCCACUUUUAAAUCAGAUUUUGUGGGGGUAUUUUUGUUACUGAGUUAUAUGAGUUUUUAAAUAUAUUUUUAGAUAUAUGACUUGCAAAUAUUUUCUCCCAUUCAGUAGGCUGCCUUUUCAUUCUGUUGAUGGUUUCCUUUGCUAUACAGAAGCUUUUGAGUUUGAUGUGUAUUUUUGCUUGUGUUGCUUUUGCUUUGGGUGUCAAAUUAAAAAAAAAAAAAAUUACUGCCAGGAUCAAGGAGCUUGUCCCCUAUGUUUUCAGGCCUAAUUUUGCAGUCUUUAAUCUAUUUUGAGUUGAUUUUUGUGGGUGGUGUAUGACAGUGGUCUAGUUUCUUUCUUUGGUAUGUGAUUGUCCAGUUUUCCCACCACCGUUUAUUUAAGAGACUAUCAUUUCCCCACUGUAUAUUCUUGGUUCCUUUAAUGUACAUAAAUUGACUAUAUAUGCAUGGGUUUAUUUCCAGGCUCUCUGUUCCAUUGAUUCACACAUUUGUUUUUAUUCAUACUGCUGUCAAUACUAUAGCUUUGUAAUACAGUUUGAAACCAGGAAGAGAACUCAUUCUUUUAGGGCAGUGUUUUUCUGAGCUAGGCUUUAUUAGGCCUAGUGUGAUGAAUGCUUCCAAUUAGGUGAUCUCUUAAAAUACUUAACCAGUGAGCAGAGUCUGAGCUUCUCCAAGGCAGGUAGAAGAAUAUCAAGGGAGAAAACUGAAGGAGAGAGAAGAUUUUAGUAUUGACUUUGCUCUAAAGGUGCUAGACUACUGUCUGAAACAUGUUACCUUUUCACAGUCCCCUCCCAAAUUUAACAAAGAUGAGAAUCUAGGUGAAGAGACUUUUGGGAGCUAAUUUGGGUAUUGUUAGCGUGAGACUGGAAAUAUUCUGUACCUUCCUAUUCUACUACCUGGCCCUGCAAAGUCUGCCAUUGGGUGUUAAUUUCCAGGAGGAGCUACUUCCUUAUUCAUUCUCAUCCCCAACCUCCUAGGAUCUUCCAGGACAUUCUGGAGGAAGUCUGGGAGAGUGCCUAGGGGAGACGAAGGCAAAGGAGGACAAUGAUUCUGGAUCGAUGAUAAAUGAAUAAAGCAAGUCCUAUAUUGGUCCUAGUUUAUAACCUUCGGAGAAUUUCCAGGCCAUGGUGUGUGGAGGUGGAACCAAGGUGGAGCCUUGCAGGCUGCCUGAUUUGAGGAGAUGGAGCUGAAAGUCCAGGGGGAUAAGACAGCUAGAGUAAGCAGAAGAGAGUAUCUGAAGGAGUGAUGUAGAUAUACAACUCCAAAGAUCUGAAGGGGGUCCCCUUGUAUGUUAAUCUGAGUAACGACCAGCAUAUGCAUGUGAGCAAAGAACCACAUGAACGGAUUAAAAGUGACAGGGCCCACACUCACACAGGAAUGGAGACAGGUCUGUCUGUACCUAUGAGACUGGAAAACCUCACGAUUCAAAGCGGAUUGGGUAGAGCACAUAGGAUGAUCUUUUCCCAGCAAUGGGGAAUACUUUGUCUUAGAAUACUGUUUUGGUCUGACCUAACAAAUUUUAAAAGGGACUCCCAAAGGAUCAAACUUUUCCCAAAUAACUUUACUUUGUCCUAGAACAAAGCUCAAGAAUAUUUACAAAAAUACAAAAAUAUUUAGUAUAAAUUCACAGUGUAAAAGUAAAAUGCAUAAUGUCUGACACUCAAUCAAAGAAUAUGAGGACUGAAAGGAUGCAAGAAAAAUACAACCUGUAAUAAGGAGAAACACUGAUUAACUGAAACUGAUGUAGAAAGGAUACAUAUGUUAGAAGUACCAGUCAGGACAUAAAAAGUUACUAUAUCUGUAUUCCAUAUAGUUAUACACUUAUAAUGCGACAUAGAAGAUAUAAAAAAGAUCCACCUAGAACUUCUAGGGAUAAAGACUGCAAUGUCUGAGAUGUAAAGUGUACUGGAUAGGACAAGUGGCAGAAGAAAUAUUGGAGAAGAGAGGACUAGUGAACUAGAAGAAACAGCUAUGAAAACUAUCAAAAAUAAAAUACAAUGAGAAAAGAAAAUAAUAAUUUAAAAAACUGAACAGAGCAGGAGUAAACUGUACAAUGGUUUCAAGUGGCCUCAUAUUUGCGAAUUGGGGCCCUGAAAGGAAUGGUGGUAAAUAUAUUUGAAGGAGUAUAGGCCCAAAAUUUCCAACUUUGAUGAAAACUAUACACUUACAUAAGCAAGAAGCUUGACAAUAUCCAAGCACAGGAAAUAUGAGGGGAACCACAUCAAGGCACACCAUAAUCGAAUGGCUUAAAAUCAGCGGUACAAAGAAAACUCUUAAAAGCAUCAAGAGAAAAAAAAAAUAUGGUUCAUAUAGAAGGACAAAAAUAAAUAUAAUAGAGAUUUCUCACUGGAAACAAUAUGAACAAGAAGACCAAGGAGUAGCAUCUUUCAAGUCCUGAAAGGAAAACAAAAACCUGCCAACCUACACUCCUCUAUCCAGCGAAAUAAACCAAACUCCAGACAAAAACAAGGCCCCCAAAACUUCCAAAAACAAAGGUGAAAUAAAGUUUUUCUGAACCUACAAAAGUGAAAGAAUUCAUCAUCAGCAGAACUACACUGCAGGAAAUAUUAGAGCAAAUCCUUCAGGGAGAAGGAAAAUGACGUCAGGUGAAAAUCUGGAUUUAUACAAAGAGAUGAACAGCAUCAGAAAUGCUACACGGGUAAGUUUAUUAAUUUUUAAAUUAAUCAAAUCUCUAAAAAACAAUAACAUUAAUACAGCAUGGGGUUUAAAACAGUAAUGUAAAAUACAAUGGAUAACAAUGGCAAAAAAAUGUUGGGUGUAGAGUAAUGGAAGUAUCUUAUUCUCAGGUUCUUUUGCUAUAUAUGAAGCAGUAUCAUUUUAUUUGAAGGAAGACUGAUAAAGACAUAUGCUAUAAACCUUAUAGAAACCACUAAAAUAGAGAGUAAUAGCUAAUGAGCUAGCAAUGGAGAUAAAAUAGAAUAAUAAAAAUAUCCAGUAAAUCCAGAAGAAGGCAAAAACAGGAAAAAAAAAAAAAAA
rnacentral:lncRNA from 1 species